UGGAGCUCUUUGUCCGAGAUUGCCCGGCCACUCUCCCAGCUGAGCAGCAGCCCCACCAACAGCAGUAGAGUCUUCAUCUUGCCUCCUUCUCCACUUCUGGAAUCCCAGCACGCCUCUGUUUGCAGAGAACAGGGAACUGUCAUGGCAACAGCUAGACAGCCCGCUGGUCUCCGGCCCAGCCUGCCGCCUGCUCUCCUGGAGCCCUGCUGAGGCCUGGCCCUCCGCUAUGCCCUUACUUGCAUCAACGCCUUUUUAUCCCAGGGACUGGACAAGAAAGGAUCAGUCUUGCCAAUGGGCACUUUCAAAAGAAAGUGGGAGGCAGCGGGUACCGGGAAGAACCGCAGGAAAGCAGCCUCAUACAGAAGAAACGAGGAUCUGGAGUCAGAACCACCGGACUCAGGUCCAAGCUACCCUCCGCCUGUUCCUCCCCCUCCUCCUCCUCUUCUCAUCAUAGCUGACUGUGCCCGAAAAAGGCACAGGAACUGUCUGCAUCCAGAGAGGACAUCCAUCUGACAAUGCCUGCUCACACCAAACUCAACUCUGAACACACCUCUCCUGGGUCACUCAUCCGGCCUAUUCCAUCCCCCCAACGUGGGGACUGCAGCCCAGAGUGCAGCCAGCCCCCUGCUGUUGACAUCACCAAGCCUGCCCGCAGCAGGCAUCACCAAUCGAUCACAGCACUGUCCCCAGAAAUGUCUCAACACCUCCUGAAAGUGCUUUUCGAGGGUCUGAGGAAAAUAAAUCCAUUUGUCAUCACCAGCGUGAGACUUGGGGCAGGAGGUGUGGAUGAGAGUAGAGCAAGGCGUGGACAGUGGUCUCCAGGGAGCGUAUCGAGGGAGGGGCAAAGCCAAAGGAUUGGGGAGGGGGAUGUGGCGAGGUCGGCGAGGGGGAGGGCAAGGAGCCUCCCCAGAAGAAGUCCUGCUGGGAGGAGCGCCUCUCUGCUCUGCCAGGUCCCUUUCACUCAGCUGGUCUCUCUUAACACACCACAGCGCGUCUGCCAAGGUCCUUCCACCACACUCGGCUGGCUGCCUGAACCCUGGACCAGCUGGUCUUACACAAUGGAUCCUUUCCCCAAAGCUGAAGUUGUUGCAAAACAGAAACCCCUCCCCCCGCAUCCCUCCCGCUGCACCCCUCCCCGCAACUUAUCAUCUGAACUCACCCGCUUCCCCUAA
rnacentral:lncRNA from 1 species